UCCAAGGAAGGCAGCAGGCGCGCAAAUUACCCAAUCCCGACACGGGGAGGUAGUGACAAUACAUAACAAUGCAGGGCCUUUAAGGUCUUGCAAUUGGAAUGAGUACAAUUUAAAUCCCUUAACGAGGAUCAAUUGGAGGGCAAGUCUGGUGCCAGCAGCCGCGGUAAUUCCAGCUCCAAUAGCGUAUAUUAAAGUUGUUGCAGUUAAAACGUCCGUAGUCAAACUUUAGUCUUACCGGCGCGGUGGCCUGGUCUUCAUUGACCAAGCUCGCUGCUGCUGGAGACUCCAUGUCCGCUGACUCCUAGUCCUCGUGGCUAGGGUUUUGUGGACAAUUACCAUGAGCAAAUCAGAGUGUUUAAAGCAGGCUUUUAAGCUUGAAUGUGUUAGCAUGGAAUAAUGAAAUAUGACUUUAGUCCUAUUUUCGUUGGUUUAGGUACUAUAGUAAUGAUUAAUAGAAACGGUUGGGGGCAUUUGUAUUUGGCCGCUAGAGGUGAAAUUCUUGGAUUGGCCGAAGACAAACUACUGCGAAAGCAUUUGACCCAGGACGUUUUCAUUGAUCAAGGUCUAAAGUUAAGGGAUCGAAGACGAUUAGAUACCGUCGUAGUCUUAACCACAAACUAUGCCGACUAGAGAUUGGGCGUGUUUAUUAUGACUCGCUCAGCAUCUUAGCGAAAGUAAAGUUUUUGGGUUCUGGGGGGAGUAUGGGACGCAAGGCU
rnacentral:rRNA from 1 species